rnacentral:rRNA from 1 species
AAAUCCGGUACUCGUUAAGGCUGAGCUGUGAUGGGGAGAAGACAUUGUGUCUUCGAGUCGUUGAUUUCACACUGCCGAGAAAAGCCUCUAGAUAGAAAAUAGGUGCCCGUACCGCAAACCGACACAGGUAGUCAAGAUGAGAAUUCUAAGGUGAGCGAGCGAACUCUCGUUAAGGAACUCGGCAAAAUGACCCCGUAACUUCGGGAGAAGGGGUGCUCUUUAGGGUUAACGCCCAGAAGAGCCGCAGUGAAUAGGCCCAAGCGACUGUUUAUCAAAAACACAGGUCUCUGCUAAACCGUAAGGUGAUGUAUAGGGGCUGACGCCUGCCCGGUGCUGGAAGGUUAAGAGGAGUGGUUAGCUUCUGCGAAGCUACGAAUCGAAGCCCCAGUAAACGGCGGCCGUAACUAUAACGGUCCUAAGGUAGCGAAAUUCCUUGUCGGGUAAGUUCCGACCCGCACGAAAGGCGUAACGAUUUGGGCACUGUCUCAACGAGAGACUCGGUGAAAUCAUAGUACCUGUGAAGAUGCAGGUUACCCGCGACAGGACGGAAAGACCCCGUGGAGCUUUACUGUAGCCUGAUAUUGAAAUUCGGCACAGCUUGUACAGGAUAGGUAGGAGCCUUUGAAACGUGAGCGCUAGCUUACGUGGAGGCGCUGGUGGGAUACUACCCUAGCUGUGUUGGCUUUCUAACCCGCACCACUUAUCGUGGUGGGAGACAGUGUCAGGCGGGCAGUUUGACUGGGGCGGUCGCCUCCUAAAAGGUAACGGAGGCGCUCAAAGGUUCCCUCAGAAUGGUUGGAAAUCAUUCAUAGAGUGUAAAGGCAUAAGGGAGCUUGACUGCGAGACCUACAAGUCGAGCAGGGUCGAAAGACGGACUUAGUGAUCCGGUGGUUCCGCAUGGAAGGGCCAUCGCUCAACGGAUAAAAGCUACCCCGGGGAUAACAGGCUUAUCUCCCCCAAGAGUUCACAUCGACGGGGAGGUUUGGCACCUCGAUGUCGGCUCAUCGCAUCCUGGGGCUGUAGUCGGUCCCAAGGGUUGGGCUGUUCGCCCAUUAAAGCGGUACGCGAGCUGGGUUCAGAACGUCGUGAGACAGUUCGGUCCCUAUCCGUCGUGGGCGUAGGAAAUUUGAGAGGAGCUGUCCUUAGUACGAGAGGACCGGGAUGGACAUACCUCUGGUGUACCAGUUGUCGUGCCAACGGCAUAGCUGGGUAGCUAUGUGUGGACGGGAUAAGUGCUGAAAGCAUCUAAGCAUGAAGCCCCCCUCAAGAUGAGAUUUCCCAACUUCGGUUAUAAGAUCCCUCAAAGAUGAUGAGGUUAAUAGGUUCGAGGUGGAAGCAUGGUGACAUGUGGAGCUGACGAAUACUAAUCGAUCGAAGACUUAAUCAAAA